rnacentral:rRNA from 1 species
UAGGCCUACGGGGGGCAGCAGUGAGGAAUAUUGGUCAAUGGGAGGAAUCCUGAACCAGCCAUGCCGCGUGCAGGACGACGGCUCUACGAGUUGUAAACUGCUUUUGUACCGGGGUAAAAUGCCUUACGAGUAGGGUUUUGAAAGUACGGUACGAAUAAGGAUCGGCUAACUACGUGCCAGCAGCCGCGGUAAUACGUAGGUGGCAAGCGUUGUCCGGAUUUACUGGGUGUAAAGGGCGUGCAGCCGGAGAGACAAGUCAGAUGUGAAAUCCACGGGCUCAACCCGUGAACUGCAUUUGAAACUGU